rnacentral:rRNA from 1 species
UACGGGAGGCAGCAGUGGGAAAUAUUGCACAAUGGGCGCAAGCCUGAUGCAGCCAUGCCGCGUGUAUGAAGAAGGCCUUCGGGUUGUAAAGUACUUUCAGUCGUGAGGAAGGUGUUAAGGUUAAUAACCUUAGCAAUUGACGUUAGCGACAGAAGAAGCACCGGCUAACUCCGUGCCAGCAGCCGCGGUAAUACGGAGGGUGCGAGCGUUAAUCGGAAUUACUGGGCGUAAAGGGCACGCAGGCGGUUAAUUAAGUUGGAUGUGAAAUCCCCGGGCUUAACCUGGGAAUGGCAUUCAAGACUGGUUAGCUAGAGUCUUGUAGAGGGGGUAGAAUUCCAUGUGUAGCGGUGAAAUGCGUAGAGAUGUGGAGGAAUACCGGUGGCGAAGGCGGCCCCUGGACAAAGACUGACGCUCAUGUGCGAAAGCGUGGGGAGCAAACAGGGAUUAGAUACC